rnacentral:rRNA from 1 species
CACUCCUACGGGAGGCAGCAGUGGGGAAUUUUACGCAAUGGGGGAAACCCUGACGUAGCGACACCGCGUGAGCGAAGAAGCCCUUUGGGGUGUAAAGCUCUGUCAGCUGGAACGAAAACAAUGACGGUACCAGCAGAGGAAGCAUCGGCUAACUACGUGCCAGCAGCCGCGGUAAGACGUAGGAUGCGAGCGUUGUCCGGAUUUAUUGGGCGUAAAGAGUUCGUAGGUGGUUUGUUAAGUUUGGUGUUAAAGAUCGGGGCUCAACCCUGGGACUGCACUGAAUACUGGCAGACUCGAGUGUGGUAGAGGCUAGUGGAAUUCCCAGUGUAGCGGUGAAAUGCGUAGAUAUUGGGAAGAACACCGGUGGCGUAGGCGACUAGCUGGGCCAUAACUGACGCUGAGGAACGAAAGCCAGGGGAGCGAAUGGGAUUAGAAACCCUGGUAGUCCCAUGAU